rnacentral:misc_RNA from 1 species
CGAAAGUGGUGUAAAUCGAUAAUGUAUAUUAUUUGAUUUGGAAGCAAAUUAGUUGCAAAUUAGUGAAAUUUAGACCAUGCGCGAAACCAAUUAAUAAUAAAUUAAAUAAUUCAAAACGUAUUAAAGAUGAGAUAAAGAUAAAGAUGUUUGAUUAAUUGAAAUAUUAUAGCACUCGGCGUGAUGAAGAUGACUCACAAUAGGUAUUUUGUUAUCACUGUGUGAAAGAGAAAGGGAUCUGGAAUGUUCCGUGUUACUAGCAGAUAUACGCAUGUUGUUUGCGCAGAAGUUAAAAAUAAUAAAGUCCGCGAUGUACUUUACGUUCGGUUUAUUAAAGUGGAAUUUAUUAUUUUGUACGUGGUGUAUUUAAAACUAUUUGUUCGAAAUGCCUGCUUGUGGAAUUGGCCAGUUACUACAAAAAGAAAAAGCGUCAGUUAACCUACAGGACAUCAGGAAAAAGGAAAGAAAAUAUGAAAAUGUGGUUAUGACAGCUGGAGAGGAUGAUCGUGUAUCAGGCAGAUAAUAACGAUAAGGAUGGCGAGAGGGGUUACCUAGAGGGCUUAGCGUCACGUUACGCUGACCUGUUCUGUACUCACUACGGGGACGUUUUGAACCAUCUUGAGGAGUUACGAAAGAAAGAACUGACCGAAAUUUCGUCGCAGGACAAAAGCUUGAGCACAACCCCAAAUAGAAAAUACGCUAACGUCACUGCCAUAUCGAACGCAGGAAUUACUUCAUCUCAAUCUCAGCCGAUUUAUGUGCCGGGGAAAUACUCGCCGUCGAGUUGCCUGAGCGAUAAAGAGGAAGAUGAAAUUUAUGGGUUCGGCUAUGGGGUUUUCGGUGUUCAAAUAGCCAGGCAGCAACAGCAACGAAUUAUGGCUGCAGCCGAACAGGGAAAUAACAGCCAACAACUCAGUCAGCAUUUCUACCAAACGUGUCUUAGUCCGCGGUCCGCUUUUUUUUACGAGUUUCCCCCAAACGAAAACGCGAAUUACGCAAACACGGGGAAAAAGCGGACGACAUUCUCCAGGUUUCUUCGGGGCUUGAAGACUGCUCAUCGAAAGGAGAAACACGGCGGCAGUUCCCCCAGGCACGGAAGGGCUACGUCGGGAGGCGCAGUACCUCAGAGGGUCGACACCCCGGACAGUGUCCUACAAAGUGGUUUGGGACUCCCAGCAGAUUUAGCGCAAAGUAACGUCCUCAGGUCUAUGAUAGAUCCUCGAGAUUAUGAUCGACUGAGAUAUUUGCAAAUGAACGGUGGAGGUCCAAGCACCUUCGAAGAAACAAUCUAUAGAUUAAAAGUCCAAGAGGCGCAGAAGAAACGUGAAAAAAUCACAAAAGAACAUGAAGAGAUUUUAAGGAAUAUUAGAGAAGGACUAAUGCAUUUAGGAAAAGGAACAUUCCGGGGACAUUUGACUGCAGACGACACGUACAUGUACGACGAAGACGUCCGUAUGUUGGCACCAGCAACGUAUGAUAGAGGCCAUUGGUAUGACGAACCACCUUACGAAAGUGAUCCCGAAGAUUUUCUGAUGAGAGGAAGUCCCGGGCCUACGGCAACAAUAGAAAAUGGCAGAGUGUGCUUCACGUUGAACCAAAGACAAGAGCAGUGUGCUGAAGGUAUAAUAUCGUUGCGAAGUGCAGGCGAUAUUUCACUACCAAAGGAAGGAAACGGAAGGGCUAUAACUGGACAUUCCAAAUGCAGGAAAUUACUGAUUUCUCGCAGAGAUGACGAAUCUCCGUCGCUAACGCGUAUGAGGGAAAGUGGUGAUUAUGCAGGGUCAGAUAUUCAAAGUGUUAGCUCAAGAAUUUCAACUUUAUCAAUGGACACUAGUCGUUCGGAUCAACUAGAACUGAUGCAUUUUGAUGAUAACCUUCGCAAAUACCACAAGAAGUGUGGUUUCACUGAUAGAUUACAGUCGCCAAAUCACAGUUCUGACUACGAAGAUCAAGAAGAUUACGACAGUUGUAAUCCGCAAAUUGCCACCGUUCAUGUGUCAGAUGAGGGAAGAAUGGGUGUAAGUAACUUAGUAGGAAGGGUAAGGGGAUUGAGGGAGGACGUGCAAAAGAAAAUAUCCAAAUUAAGGAACGAAUCGUCCACGGAUCAAGAGAAACGUUUCGAGCACUCAUUUCCGUGUUCUGCCAGUUCAGUGGAAAGCAUUCCCAGUGGUUCUGGUUCAAGCACUCAGGCUUUGGUAAGGGCGGGUAGCAACCACAGCUCGAUAUCAGUAGAAGACAUAGAUUCAAGCCCUGCAGACCCUCAAAUAAUAGGCCGCGCUAGGGCUCUGGUAGAUUACACCCCAACCCCUUAUGAUAAGGAAGCACUAAAAUUUAAGAAAGGUGAUAUUAUAGAUAUAUUAUCGAUGAAUGCGAGCGGCCAAUGGAAGGGAAUUUGCCACGGUCAAAAGGGCACGUUCAAGUUCAUAAACGUCGAACUAAUGUCCGAGAGGUCGGUGAGAGCAAAGAGGGAGCCCAAAUGGCACUAUCAAAUCAAAAACAAACCAAAGUCCGUCGAGGAUCUUCUUCAAAGGAUCGGAAUGCCAGAACAUAUUUCAGUUUUUGUCCUGAACGGCUACGAAGAUUUGGAAUUGUUCAAAGAAAUAGAACCUUCUGAUUUAGAUUAUUUGGGAAUUUUGAACUCGGAGCAUCGUGCGAAGCUGCUGGCAGCUGUGCAACUACUUCAUGACAUGGAUUCUGGAAGUGAAGGAGAUGUUGCGGGUUCCAGCAGCGAAGGCGACGACCAUAGCAGGAUUCGUCUUCUGUGUUCUACGUCCACCGAACCAUUUAGUCGUUGCCAUUUUUCUAGGGAGUCCGGCAGUUAUCCGGGGAAAACCCUCCACUGCCCAAAACUGCCCCCUUCGUCAUCUAAUCCGACACCAAAGAGCGAUUUCAACAACCUGGACGCCGUGGUCGAACAGUGCAGUAACGAAAUAAUAGCCAGGGUACGACAGUCUCACAAAAACACGCUCAACUUGAAGGAGGAACCGUGUUAUCAGCCGAACAUCACGGACAAUCCAAUGCCAAGUUUUCUUAACGACGAGAAGAUUCAACACGAAACUCUCGACCAACAAGGGAUGACAAAGGGAGCACGUAAGGGCGUUCGUCUGGAUGAAUUCGGUGCAGCCGAAGAUCAAAAACUGACGACAGUAAAAUACAUCGUGGGUGGGAAUAUAGAAAUGGGUAUUGGGGACACGAUGGUGUCUACCGCGAAUGUGAUAGGAAAGGGAGGAUGUUUCAGUGAAAAGUCUAGUGAUUCGGGAAUAAGCAGCAGCUCGAUGUGUUCGACUAAUACAAAAGAUUCUUUAAGACAGCCCUUAGCAGUUCACGCGGACAAUUUAAGUCGAUUUUCUGCUUGUGCCAAUAGAGCUUCGUCAAAAAUGACUAAGUGACAAGUUAUAGAAACAAGGCCCAUAAAUAGUACUAUUCAAUAUUCUGAACCAUCAAAAAGCCCCCCUUAGAAAGUUCUAUUUCAAGAAGGAGAAAAAGAAAGGGACGACGUAACCGUUACCACUGAGUAAGGGAAUCUGAAUACGGGAACGUCACCAUUGGAAAAAUAUUGUGAACCAGAACAAGAAAGCAUCAUGGCACUCCAGCAACAAAAUGGUUACACAAUUUUGAAGGACUUCAUCCUGGACAAUUUUGGGUGGACGUAACAUAAAAAAG